GAGGGUAUAGUUCAGAGGUAGAAUAUAUGCUUAGUAUGCAUGGGGUUCUGGGUUCAAUCCCUAGUACCUCCA
rnacentral:tRNA from 1 species